GACGAACGCUGGCGGCGUGCUUAACACAUGCAAGUCGAAGGGGAAGUCCUUGUUUCAGUGUGGCACCCGUGGGGCGAAGGGGUGUGUAACGCGUGAGUAACCCCUGCUUGACUGUGGUAAAACUUCGGGAAACCUGGGAUGAUACGGUAUAGUCGUUCCUGCGGCUUGGUGUGGGAUGAAAAGAUUCGGCGGUUGGGGAUGGACCCGCGCCUUAUCAGAUUGUUGGUGGGGUAGUGGCUUACCAAGGCGUUGACGGGUCGCCCGCCUGAGAGGGUGACCGGCCACACUGGGACUGUGAUACGGCGCAGACUCCCACGGGAGGGAGCGGAGGGGAAUAUAGCACAAUGUGCGGAAGCCUGAUGCAGCAACGCCGCGUGCGGGAUGACAGCCUUCGGGUAUUGAACCGUGUUCGCAGGAGACGAGACGUGAGUGACGGUAAUGGGAAAAGAAGCACCGGCUAACUACGUG
rnacentral:rRNA from 1 species